CCUCCGCCUUGCUGUUGCGAAUUCACUCCAAAAAUCUCCUUAUUCUGCGUAUUUCUACUUUUUGUGAUAAAGACACUUUUGUUUGUGGAAUUUAUGAACUUUGGUGUAAUGCCGAGACGUUGUGCUUUCGGUUGUGCGCUCCGUGAGAUUCCAAUGCAUAGUUUCCCAGAUGCUGUCAAAUUCCUGAGCAGUUUAAAACUUGGGUCAGUCUUGUUGGUGGAAACCCUUAAACAUCUGAUCUUGAAUGUUAUAAGAAGAAGAGAAUUUGUGAUAUACACUUUUCUGACAGACACAGAAAUCAUAAUCAAUGGCUAAGCACAUUGGCAGUUCCGAUGCUUCAUCUGCUUGGACAACUACAGAGUCAAGUAAUCUUAGGACAAGCUUCAUCCACACAACAUUUACUGCCUACAAUAAUACAGCAAGACUGUUCAGAGCCAUAUGUGAGCAACUUUAUUUUAGAAAAAGCAUCAACUUCAACAACAUUCCAACCUGUGGCUGCAGAUGCAUCUCAAGGUGCUUGAUGCUGGAACAUAAUUAUAGUUUUAUUAGCAAGCCUAAAAGAACAGCUGGAAAAGAUCUAAUGGCUCCACAGCGCACAAAGAUCAAGCAUCUUCAAGCAGAAGUAUCGCGCUUGCGAAAAAAAGGACAAUCUUUCAAAGCAAGGUUAAAAGGUGGUGCAGAUCGAUCAAUCGAAUUUUGUCAGGAAAAUUAACAUAUGUGGGUGAAGACGAAACAAAAACAGGUGCCCAACAAUAUUAUGAUAAACAUAAACAUUAUAAAAAUAUAAAAUAAUAUGCAAA